CGAUACCCGAAUGGGGAAACCCAGUGUGACUCGUCACACUAUCAUUAACUGAAUCCAUAGGUUAAUGAGGCGAACCGGGGGAACUGAAACAUCUAAGUACCCCGAGGAAAAGAAAUCAACCGAGAUUCCCCCAGUAGCGGCGAGCGAACGGGGAGGAGCCCAGAGCCUGAAUCAGCAUGUGUGUUAGUGGAAGCGUCUGGAAAGGCGCGCGAUACAGGGUGACAGCCCCGUACACAAAAGCGCAUGUGCUGUGAGCUCGAUGAGUAGGGCGGGACACGUGGUAUCCUGUCUGAAUAUGGGGGGACCAUCCUCCAAGGCUAAAUACUCCUGACUGACCGAUAGUGAACCAGUACCGUGAGGGAAAGGCGAAAAGAACCCCGGCGAGGGGAGUGAAAAAGAACCUGAAACCGU
rnacentral:rRNA from 2 species